rnacentral:rRNA from 1 species
UACGUAGGGUCCAAGCGUUAUCCGGAAUCACUGGGCGUAAAGCGUCUGUAGGUGGAUGUUUAAGUGAGAUGUUAAAGCGUGUGGCUCAACCAUAUCGUUGUAUCUCAUACUGGGCAUCUAGAGGAUGGCAGAGGCAAGUGGAAUUGGUAGUGUAGCAGUGAAAUGCGUAGAUAUUACCAGGAACACCAAUGGCGAAGGCAGCUUGCUGGGCCAUUUCUGACACUGAGAGACGAAAGCGUGGGGAGCGAACAGG